rnacentral:rRNA from 1 species
CAACUUUCAGCAUUGGAUCUCUUGGCUCUCGNAUCGAUGAAGAACGCAGCGAAAAGCGAUAUGUAAUGUGAAUUGCAGAUCUACAGUGAAUCAUCGAAUCUUUGAACGCACCUUGCGCUCCUCGGUGUUCCGAGGAGCAUGCCUGUUYGAGUSUCAGUA